UACAGAGGGGGCAAGCGUUGUUCGGAAUUACUGGGCGUAAAGGGCGCGUAGGCGGCCUGCUAAGUCGAACGUGAAAUCCCCGGGCUCAACCCGGGAACUGCGUCCGAUACUGGCAGGCUUGAAUCCGGGAGAGGGAUGCGGAAUUCCAGGUGUAGCGGUGGAAUGCGCAGAUAUCAGGAAGAACACCAACGGCGAAGGCAGCUCGCUAGGACGGUACUGACGCUGAUGCACGAAAGCUGGGGGAGCAAACAGG
rnacentral:rRNA from 1 species